rnacentral:tRNA from 1 species
GGGUGAUUAGCUCAGCGGUAGAGCAUCGCGUUCACAUCGCGAGGGUCGCUGGUUCAAGUCCAGCAUCACCCA